AUACGUAGGGAGCGAGCGUUGUCCGGAAUUACUGGGUGUAAAGGGUGCGUAGGCGGGACUGCAAGUCAGAUGUGAAAUGCCGGGGCUCAACCCCGGAGCUGCAUUUGAAACUGUGGUUCUUGAGUGAGGUAGAGGUAAGCGGAAUUCCUAGUGUAGCGGUGAAAUGCGUAGAUAUUAGGAGGAACACCAGUGGCGAAGGCGGCCUGCUGGACGACAACUGACGCUGAGGCGCGAAAGCGUGGGGAGCAAACAGGAUUAGAUACCCUGGUAGUCCACGCUGUAAACGAUGAAUACUAGGUGUGGGGGGACUGACCCCCUCCGUGCCGCAGUUAACACAAUGAGUAUUCCACCUGGGGAGUACGAUCGCAAGAUUGAAACUCAAAUGAAUUGGCGGGG
rnacentral:rRNA from 1 species